rnacentral:rRNA from 1 species
UUAUUCUGUCGGUAACGUCAAAACACUAACGUAUUAGGUUAAUGCCCUUCCUCCCAACUUAAAGUGCUUUACAAUCCGAAGACCUUCUUCACACACGCGGCAUGGCUGGAUCAGGCUUUCGCCCAUUGUCCAAUAUUCCCCACUGCUGCCUCCCGUAGGAGUCUGGACCGUGUCUCAGUUCCAGUGUGACUGAUCAUCCUCUC